GACAGAGGGAUGCAAACGUUGCUCGGAAUUACUGGGCGUAAAGCGCGUGUAGGUGGAUUGGUGUGUCAGAUGGUGAAAAGCCCUGGGCUCAACCCAGGAACUGCACCUGAAACUACCAGUCUUGAGUGGUGGAGAGGGAAGUGGAAUUCUGGUGUAGAGGUGAAAUUCGUAGAUAUCGGGAGGAACACCGGUGGCGAAGGCGGCGACCUGGGAUAGAUACGUGACGCUGAGGUGCGAAAGCGUGGGAGC
rnacentral:rRNA from 1 species